rnacentral:rRNA from 1 species
CGUAGGGUCCGAGCGUUGUCCGGAAUUAUUGGGCGUAAAGGACUCGUAGGCGGUUUGUCGCGUCGGGAGUGAAAACACCGGGCUUAACUCGGUGCUUGCUUUCGAUACGGGCAGACUGGAGGUAUGCAGGGGAGAACGGAAUUCCUGGUGUAGCGGUGAAAUGCGCAGAUAUCAGGAGGAACACCGGUGGCGAAGGCGGUUCUCUGGGCAUUACCUGACGCUGAGGAGCGAAAGUGUGGGGAGCGAACAGGA